rnacentral:rRNA from 1 species
UAUAAUGGGUCAGCGACUUAUAUUCAGUAGCGAGGUUAACCGUAUAGGGGAGCCGUAGAGAAAUCGAGUCUUAAUAGGGCGUUUAGUUGCUGGGUAUAGACCCGAAACCAGGCGAUCUAUCCAUGAGCAGGUUGAAGGUUGGGUAACACUAACUGGAGGACCGAACCCACUGUCGUUGAAAAGCCAGGGGAUGACUUGUGGAUAGGGGUGAAAGGCUAAUCAAGCCUGGUGAUAGCUGGUUCUCCCCGAAAGCUAUUUAGGUAGCGCCUCGGACGAAUACCAUAGGGGGUAGAGCACUGUUUCGGCUAGGGGGUCAUCCCGACUUACCAAACCGAUGCAAACUCCGAAUACCUAUGAGUACUAUCCGGGAGACAGACUGCGGGUGCUAACGUCCGUAGUCAAGAGGAAAACAAUCCAGACCGCCAGCUAAGGCCCCAAAAUCAUAGUUAAGUGGGAAACGAUGUGGGAAGGCAUAGACAGCUAGGAGGUUGGCUUAGAAGCAGCCACCCUUUAAAGAAAGCGUAAUAGCUCACUAGUCGAGUCGGCCUGCGCGGAAGAUGUAACGGGGCUAAAACUAUGUGCCGAAGCUGCGGAUGUAUACUUUGUAUACGUGGUAGGGGAGCGUUCUGUAAGCCGAUGAAGGUGUGUUGAGAAGCAUGCUGGAGGUAUCAGAAGUGCGAAUGCUGACGUGAGUAACGACAAAACGGGUGAAAAACCCGUUCGCCGAAAGACCAAGGGUUCCAGUCCAACGUUAAUCGGGGCUGGGUGAGUCGACCCCUAAGGCGAGGCCGAAAGGCGUAGUCGAUGGGAAAAUGGUUAAUAUUCCAUUACUUCUGUGUAAUGCGAUGAGAGGACGGAGAAGGCUAAAUCAGCCUGGCGUUGGUUGUCCAGGUGAAAGGAUGUAGGCAUGUAUCUUAGGCAAAUCCGGGGUACUCUAUGCUGAGAUCUGAUAGCAAGCUGUACUUGUACAGCGAAGUGGUUGAUGCCAUGCUUCCAGGAAAAGUCUCUAAGCUUCAGUUACACAGGAAUCGUACCCGAAACCGACACAGGUGGUCAGGUCGAGUAGACCAAGGCGCUUGAGAGAACUCUGCUGAAGGAACUAGGCAAAAUGGUACCGUAACUUCGGGAGAAGGUACGCUGUUGUUGGUGAUGGAACUCGCUUCCUGAGCUGACGACAGCCGCAGAAACCAGGCCGCUGCAACUGUUUAUUAAAAACAUAGCACUCUGCAAACACGAAAGUGGACGUAUAGGGUGUGAUGCCUGCCCGGUGCUGGAAGGUUAAUUGAUGGGGUUAGCGUAAGCGAAGCUCUUGAUCGAAGCCCCAGUAAACGGCGGCCGUAACUAUAACGGUCCUAAGGUAGCGAAAUUCCUUGUCGGGUAAGUUCCGACCUGCACGAAUGGCAUAAUGAUGGCGGCGCUGUCUCCAGCAGAGGCUCAGUGAAAUCGAAAUCGCUGUGAAGAUGCAGUGUACCCGCGGCUAGACGGAAAGACCCCGUGAACCUUUACUGCAGCUUGACACUGAACUUUGACCUUACUUGUGUAGGAUAGGUGGGAGGCUUUGAAGCUGGAACGCUAGUUCCAGUGGAGCCGUCCUUGAAAUACCACCCUGGUAA